rnacentral:rRNA from 1 species
GAUCCUGGCUCAGGAUGAACGCUGGCGGCGUGCUUAACACAUGCAAGUCGAGCGGAGGUUGUACUUCGGUACAACCUUAGCGGCGGACGGGUGAGUAACGCGUGGGUGACCUGCCUUAUACAGGGGGAUAACAGUGAGAAAUCACUGCUAAUACCGCAUAAGACCACAGUGCUGCAUGGCACAGAGGUAAAAGGAGUAAUCCAGUAUAAGAUGGACCCGCGUCUGAUUAGCUAGUUGGAGAGGUAACGGCUCACCAAGGCGACGAUCAGUAGCCGACCUGAGAGGGUGAUCGGCCACAUUGGGACUGAGACACGGCCCAAACUCCUACGGGAGGCAGCAGUGGGGAAUAUUGCACAAUGGGGGAAACCCUUGAUGCAGCAACGCCGCGUGAAGGAAGACGGUUUUCGGAUUGUAAACUUCUAUCGACGGGGAAGAAUAAAUGACAGUACCCGAGUAAGAAGCCCCGGCUAACUACGUGCCAGCCGCAGC